rnacentral:lncRNA from 1 species
CUCUGAGUCACUGACAGUCCUGCUUGGCGAGAUUCUUGCGAAGGCAGGCAGAUUUCUGCGGCGGGAUCUGGAAGAGUGGUGCCUGACGUGCUAAACCCACCUUUCCACCAGAGGGCAGGUGUGUCAUAGCUAUUGAAACUCUCAGGUGAUGUUUUCCAAUAAAG